UUUGCUGGCGACCGGCGCACGGGUGAGUAACACGUAUCCAACCACCCUUUACUCGGGGAUAGCCUUUCGAAAGAAAGAUUAAUACCCGAUAGCAUAAUGAUUCCGCAUGGUUUCAUUAUUAAAGGAUUCCGGUAAGGAUGGGGAUGCGUUCCAUUAGGUUGUUGGUGGGGUAACGGCCCACCAAGCCUUCGAUGGAUAGGGGUUCUGAGAGGAAGGUCCCCCACAUUGGAACUGAGACACGGUCCAAACUCCUACGGGAGGCAGCAUG
rnacentral:rRNA from 1 species